AUGUGGGUCUUCAAUGAACAAGCCCCGGUUUCUUCACCAGACCUGAACCCCAGCUCAGUUUCUGUUCCCACUGUUUUCAGCUUGCGGAGGAACUGAUGAGCCCAUUUCAUCCUUUCGACUUGCCUUUCGGGGCUGAGUACUGGGGGGCUUCCUUGCUUUGACCAUCUGACCUCAGGGAGAUGUCUGAUUGCCCCUGACAACAGACAAGACUGGACAGAGAGGUCCCCUGACUCAAAAUGCCCCUGGAGGCACAAGAAGGCCUACUCUCCUCUUUGUCCACCCUUUGUCCUCCCCCAAGCCCACAUCACAGGGCUCUGGACUGUCUCUCUUGCUUUAUGUGGUUAUUUUCCCUUUAAUUCCAAAUUGCCUUGUCUUGCCCUCAGCUUUUAUCGAGUGCUUGUAAAAGAAAUAACUAUGUUUAA